AAAGUGGAGCAAUCCAUGAGUAAAGUGGCGACCGGGUGAGUAACACGUGACUAACCUACCUCCGAGUGGGGAAUAACUCCGGGAAACCGGGGCUAAUACCGCAUAACAUCGCAAGAUCAAAGCAGCAAUGCGCUUGGAGAGGGGGUCGCGGCUGAUUAGCUAGUUGGCGGGGUAACGGCCCACCAAGGCGAAGAUCGGUAUCCGGCCUGAGAGGGCGCACGGACACACUGGAACUGAAACACGGUCCAGACUCCUACGGGAGGCAGCAGUGGGGAAUUUUGCGCAAUGGGGGAAACCCUGACGCAGCAACGCCGCGUGGAGGAUGAAGUCCCUUGGGACGUAAACUCCUUUCGACCAAGACGAUAAUGACGGUACUGGUGGAAGAAGCACCGGCUAACUCUGUGCCAGCAGCCGCGGUAAUACAGAGGGUGCGAGCGUUGUUCGGAAUUAUUGGGCGUAAAGGGCGCGUAGGCGGUGCCACAAGUCACUUGUGAAAUCCCCGGGCUUAACUCGGGGCCUGCAGGCGAAACUGUGGUGCUGGAGUAUGGGAGAGGUGCGUGGAAUUCCCGGUGUAGCGGUGAAAUGCGUAGAUAUCGGGAGGAACACCUGUGGCGAAAGCGGCGCACUGGACCAUAACUGACGCUGAGGCGCGAAAGCUAGGGGAGCAAACAGGAUUAGAUACCCUGGUAGUCCUAGCCCUAAACGAUGAUUGCUUGGUGUAGCAGGUACCCAAUCCUGCUGUGCCGCAGCUAACGCGAUAAGCAAUCCGCCUGGGGAGUACGGUCGCAAGGCUGAAACUC
rnacentral:rRNA from 1 species